AAUGCUCGAAUAAAUUAACUCUUACAGUGUUAAUUCCUUCUCUAACAAACCCUAACCCUAACGAGAGAGAUCGGGAAAAUUGCUGCAGGCCACUUUUAUAAAAACCCCGCAUGGCGACGGAGAGCAGAGAGGCUUUAGAAGAAUUUAUUGCAGAUUUGAGAACAACAAAGAUCAAAGCUACGUACCUGAAUCGACGGUACCAGUUUCUUAAAUCUUUCGUUCCAUGGCUCGAACACUGCUUAUCUGGGAUGUUGGUGGAAGAUGGGGAGAGAAGCGAAUCUGCCCCUUUUUUUCAGGUCAACGGCCCUGCUGCGGAGGAGCUUAUUGAUUCGAUUCAUGAAGCUAGAAAGCAACUACAUCGUUUAGAAGAGAAGGCUCGCUCCAAAAUUGCUGAGAUACCAUAUUCCCCUCCUUGGGGAACGGAGAAGGACGACUUCCAGGAUUAUGAAUACAAGACAUGGGAGAUUGUUAAUAUGGCUGAAAAGACGCAGGCUGACACAAUGGAUGGAAUAAGAAACAAAUGUAACGAAAGCCAAGAAUGCAAAAUGGUACUCCCACACUUGUUACUCCUGUUUCAGGACAGCUAUCGUACGUUUAAUAAUAUUUUGUGUCAAGUAAGAGCCCGUAAUGCGAGCAGAAUGAAGCACAUGUGCAUGGAAGAAGAACCUCAGAAGUCACGGGUAUGUCUUAUCAUCAUCCAAAGUGGUAUUCAUUUUCUGCACUGUAGAAGGAAAUAUGAAAAGCUACAUGAAAAAGCGUAUGAUUUAGAAUGUGUGCCUCUCUAUCUUCAAGUGAUACGUGGAGAUGCAUGCAGUCAGUUAUCUGAGUUUGAGGAUAAAUUUGAUUACUUGGUUUAUCAAGCAUUACAUUACAUUUCAAGGUUACAAGAGACGGGUGGAGAACUUUUUGUAAUACGUAUGUCAGAGAACAAUUAUGAGCUUCUGACCUCAAUUGUGGAAGCAAGACUUAAUAUGUAUGACGCUAGACAUGAACUUCAAAAAGACCUUCAACGGAAUGUGGUCCAAUCUUUUCUUUCAUGGAAAAGGGAUCAAGUGUCAGAGCACACGAAGAAUCAUCCAAUACAUGAGUCCCAGUUGAUCAAACAAGCAUUGGAAAUCUACAGAAAGGGGCAGGUGGAAAUCAUUCAGAAAGAAAAGGAAAAGGUCGAGGCAAUAGAAGAUAUUUUAAGAGGACAUGAAGAACGUCCAGGAUUUCAAGAAGCACGGCGCUAUUUAUUGGCUUUUAAGGAGGAGUAUUAUGCAGUGAUUGCUGAAGAGCUACGUCGAGUAAAACUAUGGCUGCAAGUCAAAUACCGGGAAGAUUUGCCAAAACUAGAGAAUCAAGUUGAAGAUGAGAUUAUGGAGGAAUCUGUGCAGAUUAAAUCAGAUUCAUUCAUGCAGAAAGAUAAAGAUGGUUGCCUGGAGGUCCAAGAGGAACUAGAUCUCCAAGUAUCGGAGGAGGCGGCGGCAAUCAUUUUGAAGAGCUUGGACGGGCAACUGGAGUUAUCGUCAUCGACAGCGGAAAUAGUGGCUAAGCAGUCGUUUAAAAUAUGGCACAUGCUGAAGAUGAAUGAAAAAGUUGUGAAAAUUCCUGUUGGAAAGAAGAUUCUUCGUAUGGCAAUCAUCUACUGCAAGAAACAUGGCGAGGCCAAGAGUUUUGCUUUUGAUUAUUUCGUUGACGACUGUGGACACUUUUGUCCGGAUGACCACCCUGAAGAGUUUACUGCUAAUUUAACCAUCGAUGAGGGUUUUGAACAGUGGGAUUCUGAGAUGUUACUGAAGAACGCCGACAAAGCAACAAUUUUUGAGCUCGUAACAGCAGCAGAGCAUCUGUACAUUCAAGGGCUGCUGGAUCUGGUUGGCAGAGCUGCAGCGGACAUGGUAAUUUGGAAGAGUGGAGAGGAGAUUUGUGAGAAAUUCCAUCUCAAAUUCGACUUUACACAAGAAGAACUAGAAGAAGCCGAUGAGGAGAACGAAUCAAUGGGGGGCGUAUCAAUGAGGAAGGUUAAUAUGGAUGGUUUACGUGAUAUGGCUGAUUACCUCACAAGUUCACUAUCCUGAAUAUUAACUCUCUGGUUUGUUCGUUAACAAAUAUAUUAUGACAUGCAUAUUCCUCCUUGAAGGAUAGGUGUAUGUUCAAAGCAAGUCUUGUGACGACCAUACUUUGAACGAUAUCAGUUGCUUUAGGGCUUUUUGUUUUUAGGUCCAUUUGUUUACCUAGCUUUAUCUUUCAACCCAAGUAUUAUUAGUUGUAUCUUUAAACCCAACUUCUUUUUUUAUUAUCUUUAAACCCAAUUUCCUUAUAUAGGGGGACCCACAUAUGAGAGUAUUAUAUUUUGGAAUUAGGUUUCCUGGGACGUCUGGUGCUGUUGUAUACGUUCUGCUAAGUGCUCUGUCGUAUACAUUCUUCUAAGAGCAAUGAAUUGAUGAUGAUCUAUUUGUACUCUUCCUGCUGCAAUGGGUAAUCGUCAGCUUGAUAUU